rnacentral:lncRNA from 1 species
GAGACACUGGAUUUCUUUAAUUAAAAAAAAAAUGCCAAGAAACAUUAUUUAUACAGGGUUGAUUGUUUUCAUGUUGUUAUUCUGUACCCUAUAGUAGCCUCCAUGAGAAUCUGGUAUUUCUUGCUGCUUGGAACUACUUUGCAGUGAUUACUUGGUUGCAGUCCAAGUAUUCUCGUUUAGUCUGAGCCUGGAGAUGUUCUAGACUUGCUUCUCCCACCUCUGAGAUUAGGACAGGAAAAAUGUGAAAUUUCCCAAUUACAGGAUUAUACGGUACCAUCACAUCAUUUGUGGAAAUUGGGGUGACUGUAUAGCUGGGAUUGGGCUAAGGACUGUGGUCUUAUCUGUCCACAUACAGCCAAAAUGCCUAUCCAGAAAUCCAGUUCGUUGGAAAGGAAAAUUGGUACUCCUGUGCCACAGGGGUUCCAGAAAAGGGAAGUCACUUUACCUUGCGGUGGUGGGAUCCUGAUGUCUUUCAUCCAUUUGUAGUAAAAGCUGGUAAAGCUUUUCUUACUCCUGGUUCCCUACCAGUAUUUCUAAACAUGUCGCACUUUCUCCACAGGCAUGUGGUUUUGACCUUUUUUUCAAUCUUCUAGAAAGGGAACGGAAGCAGAAGUGGGACAUCGAGGGCUCUGCUGUCCUCUGCGCUGGGUGUGGAAUGCUGCUGCACCUGUCCCUUCUGCUGGCUCAGGGAAGUGUCUUCUUGCCCACAUUUCUGUGGGGAAAGGUUUUUAAUCCUCUGAUGCUUCCAUCUUCCUGUUUAGGCCAUGUGCCCAGAAACCUGGACUGAUCUUUCUUUAAUAGUGAACCCCUGGGCCACUGAAGAGUAACAUGGCUCCACUGGACACAAAAGAGGGAUGGAAUCAACAGGCAGGGGGCCUUUUAUAAGCCUUAGGAAAAGAAAAUGAAACUAUUUCAUCUUUGGACUUUUCAAUACUAUUGGAGUGAUUUUUUUCUUUCUAAACAGGGAAAAUAAUGUUACAAAAGCAUCUUUUUUGUUAUUUGUUUGCAUCCCUCCCCCACACCCUGGUGUUUUAAAAUGAAGAAAAAAAACCACUUUUUGUACAAAAACUCUUAAUGAUUAAAAAACAAACAAACAAAA